rnacentral:rRNA from 1 species
UACGUAGGGGGCAAGCGUUGUCCGGAAUCAUUGGGCGUAAAGCGCGUGUAGGCGGCUGGCUAAGUCCGCUCUGAAAGCCCGGGGCUCAACCCCGGGAGGCGGGUGGAUACUGGUCAGCUCGAGUCCGGAAGAGGAGUGUGGAAUUCCUGGUGUAGCGGGUGAAAUGCGCAGAUAUCAGGAGGAACACCAAUGGCGAAGGCAGCACUCUGGGACGGUACUGACGCUGAGACGCGAAAGCGUGGGGAGCAAACAGG